CACCCCGAACAAGUGGAAGAACUGCGUUACGGACACGAGUAUAUCGCGGGAGCAGACGAGAUCGUAUUGAGUGACAACCGAGUGCGCUGUCAAACUUGUGCUAAUUAAUUGUGACGAUUUCAUUUUGCCAACAACAGACGUUAAGCGAAAACAAAGGCGACAAAUGGAAAUUCUGAAAAUAUUGGGGAGUUGGGAGCUUCCAACUAAGUGAGCCCUAUUAAAUGCGACAACAUCAUCAUCAACAACAACAACAACAGCAGUAGCAGCACGACAGGUGACAAUAUUUUACCAAAGAAAAAAAAAAGAAAUAAAUAAAAAACAUUUUUUAUGUCGCUAAUUUCAUUAA